UGGGGAAUCUUGGGCAAUGGGCGAAAGCCUGACGCAGCGACGCCGCGUGCGGGAAGAAGGCCUUCGGGUUGUAAACCGCUUUCAGGGGGGAAGAAGCGAGAGUGACGGUACCCCCAGAAGAAGCCCCGGCCAACUACGUGCCAGCAGCCGCGGUAAUACGUAGGGGGCAAGCGUUGUCCGGAA
rnacentral:rRNA from 1 species